rnacentral:rRNA from 1 species
GACGAACGCUGGCGGCGUGCCUAAUACAUGCAAGUUGAGCGCUGAAGGUUGGUACUUGUACCCACUGGAUGAGCAGCGAACGGGUGAGUAACGCGUGGGGAAUCUGCCUUUGAGCGGGGGACAACAUUUGGAAACGAAUGCUAAUACCGCAUAACAACUUUAAACACAAGUUUUAAGUUUGAAAGAUGCAAUUGCAUCACUCAAAGAUGAUCCCGCGUUGUAUUAGCUAGUUGGUGAGGUAAAGGCUCACCAAGGCGAUGAUACAUAGCCGACCUGAGAGGGUGAUCGGCCACAUUGGGAAUGGGACACGGCCCAAACUCCUUCGGGAGGCAGCAGUAGGGAAUCUUCGGCCAUAGACGAAAGUCUGACCGAGCACCGCCGCGUGAGUGAAGAAGGUUUUCGGAUCGUAAAACUCUGUUGGUAGAGAAGAACGUUGGUGAGAGUGGAAAGCGCAUCAAGUGACGGUAACUACCCAGAAAGGGACGGCUAACUACGUG